rnacentral:rRNA from 1 species
CACGUAGGGCGCAAGCGUUGUCCGGAAUUAUUGGGCGUAAAGAGCUCGUAGGCGGUCUGUUGCGUCCGCUGUGAAAACUCGGGGCUUAACCCCGAGCCUGCAGUGGAUACGGGCAGACUAGAGGUAGGUAGGGGAGAAUGGAAUUCCCGGUGUAGCGGUGAAAUGCGCAGAUAUCGGGAGGAACACCGGUGGCGAAGGCGGCAUCCUGGACCAACACUGACACUGAGGAGCGAAAGCCAGGGGGAGCAAACGGG